UACAGAGGGUGCAAGCGUUGUUCGGAAUUAUUGGGCGUAAAGCGCGUGUAGGCGGCAAAGCAUGUCGGGUGUGAAAGCCCUCGGCUCAACCGAGGAAGUGCGCCCGAAACUACUUUGCUUGAGUACCGGAGAGGAUGGCGGAAUUCCCGGUGUAGAGGUGAAAUUCGUAGAUAUCGGGAGGAACACCAGUGGCGAAGGCGGCCGUCUGGACGGAUACUGACGCUGAGACGCGAAAGCGUGGGUAGCAAACAGGAUUAGAUACCCUGGUAGUCCACGCCGUAAACGAUGGGCACUAGGUGUCGCGGGUGUUGACCCCUGCGGUGCCGUAGCUAACGCAUUAAGUGCCCCGCCUGGGAAGUACGGCCGCAAGGCUAAA
rnacentral:rRNA from 1 species